GACGAACGCUGGCGGCGUGCUUAACACAUGCAAGUCGAACGGAAAGACCCUGCGUUUGUGGGGUGCUCGAGUGGCGAACGGGUGAGUAACACGUGAGUAACCUGCCCUUGACUUUGGGAUAACUUCAGGAAACUGGGGCUACUACCGUAUAGGAUAUCCUGCUGCAUGGUGGGGGUUGGAAAGUUUCGGCGGGUGGGGAUGGACUCGCGGCUUAUCAGCUUGUUGGUGGGGUAGUGGCUGACCCAGGCUUGGACGGGUAGCCGGCCUGGGAGGGUGACCGGCCACAUGCGGAUUGAGGUACGGGCCGGACGCAUACGGGGGGCAGGGGCGGGAAACUUUGCACAAUGGGCGGAGGCCGGAUGCAGGAACGCCGCGUGCGGGAGGCCGGCUUUCGGGUUGUAAACCGCUUUCGCUUGUGACGAAGCGUGAGUGACGGUAAUGGGGAAAGAAGCACCGGCUAAUUACGU
rnacentral:rRNA from 1 species